UACGUAGGGUGCGAGCGUUAAUCGGAGUUACUGGGCGUAAAGCGUGCGCAGGCGGUCUGUUAAGACCGAUGUGAAAUCCCCGGGCUUAACCUGGGAACUGCAUUGGUGACUGGCAGGCUUUGAGUGUGGCAGAGGGAGGUAGAAUUCCACGUGUAGCAGUGAAAUGCGUAGAGAUGUGGAGGAAUACCGAUGGCGAAGGCAGCCUCCUGGGCCAACACUGACGCUCAUGCACGAAAGCGUGGGGAGCAAACAGG
rnacentral:rRNA from 1 species